UACGAAGGGGGCUAGCGUUGCUCGGAAUCACUGGGCGUAAAGGGUGCGUAGGCGGGUUUUUAAGUCAGGGGUGAAAUCCUGGAGCUCAACUCCAGAACUGCCUUUGAUACUGAAAAUCUUGAGUCCGGGAGAGGUGAGUGGAACUGCGAGUGUAGAGGUGAAAUUCGUAGAUAUUCGCAAGAACACCAGUGGCGAAGGCGGCUCACUGGCCCGGUACUGACGCUGAGGGACGAAAGCUAGGGGAGCGAACGGG
rnacentral:rRNA from 1 species